CAGUAGCCGCGGUAAAACGGAGGGCGCGAGCGUUACCCGGAUUUACUGGGCGUAAAGGGCGUGUAGGCGGCCUGGGGCGUCCCAUGUGAAAGGCCACGGCUCAACCGUGGAGGAGCGUGGGAUACGCUCAGGCUAGAGGGUGGGAGAGGGUGGUGGAAUUCCCGGAGUAGCGGUGAAAUGCGCAGAUACCGGGAGGAACGCCGAUGGCGAAGGCAGCCACCUGGUCCACUUCUGACGCUGAGGCGCGAAAGCGUGGGGAGCAAACCGGAUUAGAUACCCCUGUAGUCCCUGUCUCUUAUAC
rnacentral:rRNA from 1 species